rnacentral:rRNA from 1 species
AUACGUAGGUGACAAGCGUUAUCCGGAUUUACUGGGCGUAAAGGGCGUGUAGGCGGUCUUGCAAGUCAGAAGUGAAAUUCCUGAGCUCAACUCGGGCGCUGCUUCUGAAACUGCAGGACUUGAGUGCUGGAGGGGAUAGCGGAAUUCCUAGUGGAGCGGUAAAAUGCGCAGAUAUUAGGAAGAACACCGGUGGCGAAGGCGGCUAUCUGGACAGUAACUGACGCUGAGGCGCGAAAGCGUGGGGAGCAAACAGGAUUAGAUACCCUGGUAGUCCACGCCGUAAACGAUGGAUACUAGGUGUAGGAGGUAUCGACCCCUUCUGUGCCGGAGUUAACACAAUAAGUAUUCCGCCUGGGGAGUACGGCCGCAAGGUUGAAACUUAAAGGAAUUGACGGGG